rnacentral:misc_RNA from 1 species
CUCAAGAUAGUCAUUUAAUUGUGCUCUCAUUAUAUGUUUCAUAUACAGAAAUAAGCUGCAGGACACACUACGCAUGAUGAAACAAAUGGAGUUUCCAGAUACUGCAAAAGAUCCUAUGGUCUACAAAUGCAUUGGAAGUGCAAUAAAAAAUUUAAAAACAUUCAAUCAAGCAAAGCCCAAAAAAGUCCAAAAUUCAAGUGAUGGAAACUUGUGAAUCGUCCUCAGCAGAAAGAUGCAGUAUGCAUCCAGAAAUUGGAAUCUCAUCAUUUAUGGUUAAAGGAAAUGUUUAAUGCAUACCUCAUUCUCAGGACGACUGUAAUCCACUGGAUCUCUUCCAGUAAUUGCUUCCAAGAGCACAACUCCAAAGCUAUAAACG